GACGAACGCUGGCGGCGUGCUUAACACAUGCAAGUCGAACGGAAAGGCCCUGCUUUUGUGGGGUGCUCGAGUGGCGAACGGGUGAGUAACACGUGAGUAACCUGCCCUUGACUUUGGGACAACUUCAGGAAACUGGGGCUAAUACCGGAUAGGAGCUCCUGCUGCAUGGUGGGGGUUGGAAAGUUUCGGCGGUUGGGGAUGGACUCGCGGCUUAUCAGCUUGUUGGUGGGGUAGUGGCUUACCAAGGCUUUGACGGGUAGCCGGCCUGAGAGGGUGACCGGCCACAUUGGGACUGAGAUACGGCCCAGACUCCUACGGGAGGCAGCAGUGGGGAAUAUUGCACAAUGGGCGGAAGCCUGAUGCAGCAACGCCGCGUGCGGGAUGACGGCCUUCGGGUUGUAAACCGCUUUCGCCUGUGACGAAGCGUGAGUGACGGUAAUGGGUAAAGAAGCGCCGGCUAACUACGUG
rnacentral:rRNA from 1 species